rnacentral:rRNA from 1 species
AUGUUUGAAGAUUUAAUGGCAGAUGUGCAAGAGGAAAAUCCUGAACUGGGAGAACUGUGGUUUGUGAGGUGUUAUGUGAAUGGUCUAAGAGAGGGAAUUAAAUUUCAACUUAGGCCUUUCAGACCUCAAACACUGACAGAGGCUUACUGUAUGGCAAAAGACAUAGAACCUAAUCAUCCACACAUAGCCACUACCAGUAAGAAGCAAGCUACACCAUUCAAGAACUUCUAUCAGAAAUCCACUUGGACUCCUCCAACAAAACAUAGUAUCACUGUAGUUCAACCACAACAACAGCAGCAAGUUCCUACCAAGCAAGCUGAAGUGCCUGUAACAAUGGUCAGAGAAUCAGAAAAGUAG